GGCACGAGUCGCUCGGUGGCCAGGAGUCAGUUAGGCCCGGCGUUUGAACUGCUGCAGACGCUCAGAUUUUUUUUUUUUUCCUCUCCCUAAUCUUGACUUUUUCUUACUGUUAAUCUACUAGUAGAUACUCGUCCUUUUACAGACACACUUGGGCGUCCAACACAAACAUGCCAAAGAACAGCUCUUUGUUCGCUCGCCUUCAGGAAUCCAGCUCCGGGAGGCCCUGGUGUGUGCUGCCUUUGAUCUGAGCCUGAGAUAGCCCUGCAUUAGUACAGAGUGGGAUGGAUCACCAUUCAAAUUGCAUGGAUUAACUAUGGAAGGGUCGCCCGUGUCAUCACGGCUGGAGGAGGCAGUGAGAGACAGAUGCCAUUCUCAUCUGUUGCUGGUCUCCCCCACUUCCGACCUUCUUCCCCUCCUGGGGGUUGGCCUGCUGACUUCCAGCCCAUUGCACGCACGGGCGCCUCAUGAUGGUGGCGGGGCUCCCAUGGUGGUGGAAGGGCUAGCCCUGUAAUAAAGCCCGUAUUCCACACCAGUCAAGGUGGUCUGCUGCUCCGGUUGCCCUCGGGCUGAAACACAUGUUAGAUCCCUGUUUCUGAGAAGAGAAGGACUUGGAGGAAGAAGGCGGCCGCUCUCCUCCAUCCCAAAGAUGACUGAAGGGGAGUGUCGCUCCGGACACCGUAAAGUAAUGACGUUAAACCUCGGUUGCAGUCCCCGGGAGACUUUGGGGGCGUCUGCUUUGGACACCUUUGGAACUAGGCGGGCUCGGCUCUUUCUGCAAGUGUGGCAUUGCUGGAAGGCAGAAGAAUGAAAGCUUCCCAGCGGCUCCUGAGAGGAGAUAGCUGUGGUCGAAGAGCGGGGACCAACGGGGCAGAAGCCCCAGUUCCAGCCCCAGCCCCAUCUACCACUGCGGGUGGUUUGAUCUCUGGCAGCUUGUUUAAUCUCUCUACCAACCAGGGAGGGAUCAAAAUAUUGGGGAAAUGGCAAUUCCGAUGUUGUUGGCUGUUUGAAUGAUUAAGCAACCCAAUUUUUUGUUUAAACGCCCUGCCUUCCACAGUGUUACGCAAGUGUUAUUUUUAUCAGUGUGUCCAUUAAAAUAGUAAAUUGGA